rnacentral:rRNA from 1 species
UUACAAAUCUGGUUUAUCAGUGCCGUCUGAGUAUACGAAAAAUCAAUCAAAACUUUCAACAACGGAUCUCUUGGUUCUGGCAUCGAUGAAGAACGCAGCGAAAUGCGAUAAGUAAUGUGAAUUGCAGAAUUCAGUGAAUCAUCGAAUCUUUGAACGCACAUUGCGCCCCCUGGUAUUCCGGGGGGUAUGCCUGUUCGAGCGUCAUUA